UACGGGGGGAGCAAGCGUUGUUCGGAUUUACUGGGCGUAAAGGGCGCGUAGGCGGUAGCACAAGUCAGUUGUGAAAUCUCCGGGCUUAACUCGGAAAGGUCAACUGAUACUGUGCGACUAGAGUGCAGAAGGGGCAACUGGAAUUCUCGGUGUAGCGGUGAAAUGCGCAGAUAUCAGGAAGAACACCCGUGGCGAAGGCUGCUCUCUGGGACGGUACUGACGCUGAGACGCGAAAGCGUGGGGAGCGAACAGG
rnacentral:rRNA from 1 species